rnacentral:lncRNA from 1 species
CUUCUCUAUAUACCACACAAGGUGAAGUCUUAACUUCACACUGCUUCUUCUAAUGUCUCUUCAUCAUAGUCUUAUGACCUCUGUAUUAUCACACCACCUUAAAAAUAUGAUUUUUAUCUUCCCAGUUUCACCCAGAUGAGGGCUACAAAGAAAGCUAUCCUGGAGCAGGUCCCAGGUUCCCCGGAAGGCCUGCACAACAGGGAGGAGGCUCUCAGCCUGCAGUCACACUGACCGAGCCAGAGAAGGAGGAGGACUCACGCAUGCCGUGAGGGGCAGCUUCCCAACACGGAAGAGAAGACAUCCACGCCUCACUUUCCCACCCCAAGAUGACUAAACACCCCGCAUCUAGCAGAGACAGCUGGCCAUCUGUCUACAAUGUCUGGUUGUUGGAAUCUGGUAACUGCAUGGCACAGACUUUGAGGUUCACACUUCUGAUGGAAAAUGCCAGCACUAGCCACCAACACUCCACAGUUUCUGAUUCACAGGGCCACCCUAUGUCCAAGCUGGGCCUGGAAGCCACAG